GACGGGUUGAUAGGGGUGAAUACAAUACCGAAAGGAAAUAACCCCAGCCGUCUUUUAGCGGUAGUUGAGACCCGUUGCCCUAUG
rnacentral:ncRNA from 1 species